UGUAACCGGUGGGCUGCAGGUAGGGCAGAAAGAAGACAACAGCGUCAGCCUGCAUGUUGUUUACAGUACAAGAUGUCUGCUGGAGCAGAGCCAGAGCAGAAACAAGGCUUUUAUUUUUCCUGCCAGUCAGCUGGAAAGACAAAAAGAAACAUCUCCUAACCCGAGCCGCCCUGAGCAAACUAACCUGCAGGUACUUUAGUCGGUGUAAUCAGCCGGUGAUGCUGUGUUCACACGCAGAAACCAGGUGGAAAAACUAACUGAACUGAGGAGGAGCGGGAAGCAGCGAUCCCAGACCGUCCCAAACACUGACAAAUUACCACAAGUUUCCGGCGCAAGAGAAAUAUGUGUGUGUGCGUUCAUGACCCAAGCAGAUAAAAAUAUCAAGAGCAAGUCAAAACCACAAGGAAACCAAGCUCUCCCUCCUAAAACCAUGGGAGGAGUUUCACAGAAAUGUCUAAGGCAGCUCUAUAAUAAGAGCCACAAAUGAUUCACCGCUGAUUCUGCAGACAUUAGCGUCAUUGCAUGAUUUAGCUUGCAAUUAUUGUUGGUGGGAGAUUAACACAAAAAGCCAGAGCAGACGUCAUCUGCAGAAGCUUUGACUGCUGCUCUGCUCUUUAACAAUUACCUGUUUAUUAUUCUUUUACUUUUCUUUUUUCUUUUGCUGCCCAAGAGUUCACAGAGUGGGCUAGUAUUUAUGAUCCCAGAGGAGGAGCAGCACAAAGACGCGCUGAAAACGACAGCAGAUGAAGCAGAGCGACACGCGAUCAAGUUUUUAAGGAGUGCUGAUGUGAGAGAGCUGCUUAACUGUAAAUUACAUCUGACCAAGUUCCCAUAAAACGGGUUAUAAAAGGAAGCAGAAGAUAGUUUAGUGGCGAGAUGAGCAGAGAGGAGAAUAUUCUCUGUAGCGGAUCUAAUGUCAAGACUCAGAGUGAAACUGGGAGAAACUUUCAGGUCUGAUUAUGGUAAUUCCUGCCUUUUCUGGGAGCAGCAACAACAAGAACUUAAAGCCUCAAACAAAUAGUGAGGCUUAAAAAUAUUAAAAAUAUUCUUGAGCAGUGAGUGACUGAAACGCAGUCAGAUUUCUAUAAACAAGGGACGUGUAAAUCAUUCCAGAUUUAAAACAAAAGGUCUGCCAAACUGCCUAAAUCCUUUAUGCUCAAAGAAACAGAGUGUAAAAAAUGGAUCUGGGUCACAGUGUGAAUGUAGCCUCAGCUGCCUGCGUUUUUCUUAAAUCAAAAAAAUAUAAAAGAAUUAUUAGAAAUGUAUACAGCUCCCGCAUUUUCAGUAUUUUGAAUUGAUUCAGACUUCCCAGGACUAAGAAUUAUGAUUCUUUAUAGAAUAGAUUUUUUUUCCUGCACCUCUAAACCGUACACGUUUAAAAAGCAGAAGUGGAGCCUCCUGCACAAAAAACAAGAAUGCAGCAAAUGGUUUCUGAACAAGUCAACAAAAUACUUGUUUUUUUUCAGCAGCCAUUGUACAUCGCAUACAGCAGUGAAAGAAAACAAGUAAUACUUGUAACCAUAUAGCUUGAAAUUGGCUAUUUUAAUAGUGACUAGCAUUGUUAGCACAAUUACCAUCUCCAUCUAGUUCACUCCAGGCUGCAAUGUGAACGUGGCCUUCUUGAGGGCCAAAAUUGGCCCCCGGGCCACACUUUGGACACCCCUGACCUAAGCCGUUCAGCUGGAUUGGGUUCUCUCUCCUUCUGUCAUGUUUUUCUCACAGAAACUCGCCUGAGCCGCUACAUGGAAGCGACUCCGCGACUCCAACGGACAGGUGCUCCUCUUCUUUAAUUACGUCCAUCUCUCGCUCUGUAGAGCAAACAGCUCCCUCCUCCUCCCUCCGCUGAAGAACAAACACGCUCUUCCUUCAUGUGCACAUCCCUCUGCAGCUCAUAGAUCGCUGGCUGUCUCCACGUGCAGGAUUUUCAUUACAGACCACGUCCACGGCAAAUAUUGGUUCAGGGGAGAUGUUUCAUUUUCUGUGGAAGAGUAAACGUCGGCUGCAGUCUUUCCGUCUGCAGGCCGCCGAACCGGGUUUUGUUUUUGUUUUGUUUUGUUUCUGCGGCGCACGACUCGGUAAUGAGCUGAAGAGCAGAAUAUGAAGCGGGAGAUAAAUGGCACCGCAUCUCUGAAAAGGCAGAGCAGAACGAACAGAAGGGACUUCAAUUUUCUGAUAACCAGCCGAGGUUGCCAUAGAUACAACAUCCUGUACAAGAGCGAGCGCCGGCCCCUCUCCUCUUCCUCAUAACCGUUUUUCUGCUCCCAGCCCUCGUUUUUCCCCUUACUCUGUCUCUUUUCACUUUGCUCUUCAUCAUAAACGAGGGAUGAAGGAGCCUCCUGCAACUCUCGGCUCCUUUGCUCUCUGCUGCGUUGCCAUAGAAACAGGAGGAUGGAGAUGUACGUUAUGCUUUUCCCCCACCGUGAGAAGCAGACGGAGCAAUGAUGAAGACAAAAAAAAACGAUAAAAGGAAGAGAGGACAUAAAACAGAUUCAAAACCUGAGAGAUGUUCUGGGUUUUACUAGGAAAUGUUUAGUCACAUGAAACAUCAUUUUAACAAUUCAUCCGACAUAAAAACAGAAAUGGUCCUAAAACGCCACAUCCCCAAAAUAAACUGGAGUUUUAGUUUCCAGAAAACUCGAUGUUUUCUGGGAACAGAAGCCUGUAAGUUGGAACAAAAAAGCCCAAGCAGACCACAACCCGGCCAUCAGCCAACUGUGUGCUUUGCUUCUGCCAACUUUAUGACUCUUUUUGGUUGUUUUUGAAACCAGUUUUUGCCAGUCUGGUGAUUUUGGCCAACUUGGCACCUGAUUCGGAAACUGUGUCUAAUUAGGUCGAGUUUUACUCUCCACCUCCCUUUAAGGGAUGCUUUGUGAUUUAUUUCAAUUCUGGGUCUAAUUUCAUUAAGUUCUGCACCAAUUUGGGUCAGAUUUUGUGCCUCAUUUUGGACGUUCCAGUGUGAAUGUUGAUGAAUUACGCAUCUCAAGGGGAAAUUUUGUGGAUAAAAUUCUCAGCUCCACCUGUUUAGCCUCAUAUCAAACAUUUCUGAGUCUGAUUUUGCCCAGUUUGGCAUUUCAAUUUGGUUGGCUGAACAUCUUCUUUUGUUGGACUGAGCUUAAUUUCAUGCAACCUUAACUCUUACCAGUUAAAUCUAGUUUGGUGUUUUGCUUCCAAUUUUCCCCAAAUGUCAGUUUAAUUUAUGCUAAAUUCCAGAAUAUUUUCCAUCUAAAGUGGACAAAUUUGACUUAUGCUAACAUUUGGACCAGAUUUAUGCCUCAUUUCUGUCAACUUUGGGAAUCAAGUUUGGUGAAUUUUACAUCCAAUUUCAGCCACGUUUGUGUCUCAAUUUGACUUCAUUCUUGCCCAUUUCAGCCAACUUUUUGAAUUAUUUCAGCCGAUCUGGGUUUUCCCCUCUGCGACGCAGAAUUUGGCUGACUUUGUGUUGUACUCCGUACAGAUUAGCAUUAAAUUUUGGUACAUUUUAUUUUAAUCCGGUCCAUUUGGCAUCUCAUUUAGGCCCAUCCUGAUAACAAAUUUUGCUGGACAAUAAAUUGUCCCAGAAGUUAUUCAAGAUAAAAUUACAGUGUGGUUUCGAGACCAUUUUCAAGUAGCGUUAUAGUAACGGCAUAACAAUGCCAGAAAAGAUUCUCACAGAUCAAUAAACUUCAAAUUCUAAUGAAUAUUUAUCGCUAGACAUGGGAGACAUUUUAAAUAUCCACAAUAAAUAAGCAACUGAAACAACAAAUAAAAUUAAUUAUGAAGUCUGUAAACCAAAUUAUCCUUCAAAAAUAUGUCCAGUUGAGACCAAACUUUAACUCUCAUUUUGGCACAUUUUAUGGUUCCGUUUUUAGGCAAAAAUAAGAACUGAAAACUAAAAACUUCUGCACAACUCAGCACUCUUUCUGCGAUCAUCAUCUUCCUGAUUAUAUGAGAAACAUUUGCUGAGUUGCAGGAAAACUUGGAUUUUUUUCCCACCCUCUUCUCUGGGUGACUCAUGAGGAAACACUCGAGCACCAGAGAAGAAAGAGAAACCAAAGCGGAGGAAGAUGAGGAGGAGACCAGCAGCUGACCGAGGAGAAACCCAACAGGUGUUCAGCUCGCCACUGGAAAGGUCAAGCAGCCAUUUUGCAGAAGGUGAUUGCUGCCGGACUUCGUCAGACCUCUUGCAAAGCUGCGGCUCUCGAAGCGAUGGAGUCACUUCCUUCCAGCCAUCGGCGGCUCUUAACUUCUCCAUCUGCUACAGAGGGGCGCAGAUCGCCGUUUGGCAUGACGACGCAGCUGUGAGGUUUGACGUCUGCAGCUGCGUGGGCGGGCACAGCUGCAGGUUUCUGUGAAGAAACGACUCCGAGAAAGUUUCUGCGUCACCCGAGACAGGAAGUAGGAACGUAAUCAAGAACUGAAGCUGCUGCAGGACGAUGCAUACAGGAACGCCACUUCGCACUUCCUGCAGCAGUUUCUGCUCAAUGUUUUCCUCCUGUGAUCAGUAUAAACACUUUGGUGUGCAACAUCCAGGAAAUAUUCAGGGUCUUCUCAGAAACAUAAGAAUUUCAACCCGUGCUCACACUCCCGCGUGCUUUUUUUCGUUGAUGUAUCAAGUUUCUACGGCUGCAAAAGAAGCUACUAACUUCACGCUGAAUAAAUAAAGAAUAAAGAAACACGGAUGCAAACAAGAACAUGACCCUGGUAUCCACUGGUGGGCACACUUCCCCCACUCCAUUAAUCACAGAGCUGAAGUUUCAUGUAACACUUCAGCUAACUUUUAAAACGUCUAGCGCACUUAGCUUCCCCUAAAUAAUUUUUCCCAGAUAAAUUCUAAAGCACCAACUUGUAAUAAACUUGGUUAUGUUAUAAACAUCAUUUAUUUAAACGUAUAUAUUGAUGCUCUUAUUUCAAAGUGCAUUAAAACUGUUUACUCAGCAGCUCUAUUUCCUCUCCAUUUUCGUUUUUCAACUUUACUUAAAGCAUAAAACAUUCUGGAACAAAAUAAAACAGGAAAAAAAAUUCAAAAAAUAUAAACAAAGGGCA